AAAUCUUUGACUUUUUUUUAUUUACAGCGAUGCUGCCAUACAUACUAUUUUCUCUAGGUUAAAGGCAAAAUCUGAAGAAGUAUGACUUUUCCUCUCAAGAUUUUUAUUUGUAUCCUCCACAGUGGGCCUCGCUCUGCACCAAGAGCCUUUGUCUCGUGGCUUCCAUGACACUUCUGUGAGCCAUGGCUGAAAUUAAAGAAAAAUCAGAUGAUGAAGACCAGAUUUUGUCUUUACAUGUCCCAGAUUGAACUAUACAUUUUUGAUUAUCUGACCUCUAACCCAUGGAGCUUACCCAAUGUGCCACCUGUACUACUAGCUGAAUCAGCUUGCCAGUCCCUGAUUUAGAUACAGGCAACGUUGGCAGAUGAAACUGAGACUUCACCAUACAUCUAGGACCUCAUGUGGUUGUAAUCUCUGGAAACUGAUGGAAGAAAGCAGCU
rnacentral:lncRNA from 1 species